rnacentral:misc_RNA from 1 species
UCUUUCCUCAAGAUCAUGAAAGAUCGAGGUAGGAUAAAAGAUUGUCGGGCACUCACGUACAGGCAAGACAUCAAGGCAAAGGAUCUAGAAGCAUACAGAUUGCGAAUACUUCCCACUCGUCAGUAUGGGUAUGUUGUGAUAACUACUCCAGAUGGUGUGUUGGACCACGAAGAAGCAAUUGGUCGGAAUGUGGGAGGUCAAGUUCUUGGUUACUUUCACUAGAUGUCUGUGGUGCCCUUUAACACUUCUAGGCGGAUGAUGGGG